UAACGCGUGAGGAACCUGCCUCAAAGAGGGGGACAACAGUUGGAAACGACUGCUAAUACCGCAUAGGCCCACAGCUCGGCAUCGAGCAGAGGGAAAAGGAGUGAUCCGCUUUGAGAUGGCCUCGCGUCCGAUUAGCUAGUUGGUGAGGUAAUGGCCCACCAAGGCGACGAUCGGUAGCCGGACUGAGAGGUUGAACGGCCACAUUGGGACUGAGACACGGCCCAG
rnacentral:rRNA from 1 species